rnacentral:tRNA from 1 species
GUUUUAAUAGUUUAAAUAAAAAUAUUGGUCUUGUAAACCAAAGUUAAGUUGUAAUCUUUCAAAACU